rnacentral:rRNA from 1 species
UACGAAGGGUGCAAGCGUUACUCGGAAUUACUGGGCGUAAAGCGUGCGUAGGUGGUUGUUUAAGUCUGCUGUGAAAGCCCUGGGCUCGACCUGGGAAUUGCAGUGGAUACUGGGCGACUAGAGUGUGGUAGAGGAUAGUGGAAUUUCCGGUGUAGCAGUGAAAUGCGUAGAGAUCGGAAGGAACAUCUGUGGCGAAGGCGACUAUCUGGGCCAACACUGACACUGAGGCACGAAAGCGUGGGGAGCAAACAGG